rnacentral:rRNA from 1 species
GAUGAACGCUGGCGGCGUGCCUAACACAUGCAAGUCGAGCGAAUCCUUCGGGGUGAGCGGCGGACGGGUGAGUAACGCGUGGGUAACCUGCCCUGUACACACGGAUAACAUACCGAAAGGUAUGCUAAUACGGGAUAACAUAUGAGAGUCGCAUGGCUUUUGUAUCAAAGCUCCGGCGGUACAGGAUGGACCCGCGUCUGGUUAGCUAGUUGGUAAGGUAACGGCUUACCAAGGCAACGAUCAGUAGCCGACCUGAGAGGGUGAUCGGCCACAUUGGAACUGAGACACGGUCCAAACUCCUACGGGAGGCAGCAGUGGGGAAUAUUGCACAAUGGGCGAAAGCCUGAUGCAGCAACGCCGCGUGAGCGAUGAAGGCCUUCGGGUCGUAAAGCUCUGUCCUCAAGGAAGAUAAUGACGGUACUUGAGGAGGAAGCCCCGGCUAACUACGUGCCAGCAGCCGCGGUAAUACGUAGGGGGCUAGCGUUAUCCGGAAUUACUGGGCGUAAAGGGUGCGUAGGCGGUCUUUCAAGCCAGAAGUGAAAGGCUACGGCUCAACCGUAGUAAGCUUUUGGAACUGUAGGACUUGAGUGCAGGAGAGGAGAGUGGAAUUCCUAGUGUAGCGGUGAAAUGCGUAGAUAUUAGGAGGAACACCAGUAGCGAAGGCGGCUCUCUGGACUGUAACUGACGCUGAGGCACGAAAGCGUGGGGAGCAAACAGG